rnacentral:rRNA from 1 species
UACGUAGGGUGCAAGCGUUGUCCGGAAUUAUUGGGCGUAAAGAGCUCGUAGGCGGUUCGUCGCGUCGGCUGUGAAAACCCGGAGCUCAACUCCGGGCCUGCAGUCGAUACGGGCGGACUAGAGUUCGGCAGGGGAGACUGGAAUUCCUGGUGUAGCGGUGAAAUGCGCAGAUAUCGGGAGGAACACCGGUGGCGAAGGCGGUUCUCUGGGCCUUACCUGACGCUGAGGAGCGAAAGCGUGGGGAGCGAACAGG